CGCAGAUUACAACGCACUCAGGCAUAAGGCUGAAUGUCAGAGAUUAAUUGGGUAGACUGUGAUGCGCCUGAGCUUACUGUAAAUACAUCUGGUACUUACUUUAGAGCAAGUGACUCAGCUAGAGGCUUUCUCCCGGCUUCUGGAGACGUGUUUGAGAGGAAUAUUAUUUUUACCGUAGAUAAAGUAAUUCUUGUAAAUAUCCUCAGCUAACUUUUACAGAGUGCUUUUUCACCCAAGCUUUUUCAGUCUCUCCAUUUUACUCAUUUUGCUGUACAGUUCCAUAAAUACCAUCGCUUUUGUCAGAUGUACACACGACGAUUAAAACGCAGCAGCUUUGCUGUCCAAGUGGACACUUGUCCAUCUGCAGAAUGGAUGUUUCUGUGUAACACAAUUCCAAAUUAUUCGCAGUAUAUUUGCUUGUUUUUGCUUGGAGCGCAUCUACAGUUUUGAUAAUGAAAUGCAACUUGACAUGGGCACAGUGUGACCUUCCAUGCUAGUGGCUGGCAUUUGCAAAGCAGCACAUGAUGCUGCCGCCCCUACAGCAUGAUGCUGGCGGAGGGGUGUUCAGAGUGAUGGUUCACAUAUUUAUCUGCUAAGACCAUGUUUCAGUCAUUAAAAGCUAAGUUUCUUUCUGAUUCGUUCUGUAGGAACGAAUCAGAAAGGGAUUAAUUUGCUUACAAAGAGAUUAAUUUGUUUCCACAACCCUUAACUAUUCAUGUUGUACUUCCCACGUCAGCAACACUUGAGGAUGAAUCUACUUGGUGGUAUUGAUACUCGACACUUGGCUCAUGAAUAAGUAAAGAAGGCAAAUAGCUUUGUUGGCAUACAGUAACAGAGCCAUUAGGGCUUACACACAGAGACAAAGCAUCCUCUUUACAUUAUUCAUAGAUGAUGCAGUUUUAAUGUGAAACACAGUUGACGUGUGUAAACUCUGUUUAAUUGGUGUGUGUCGGUAAUGAAGCUGAUCAUCAUGCUGCUUCACCAGCCCACAAACUGAUUUUUUUUUAUGGCUGUUGGCUCUUUUUGUGGCACACAGAGUUCUGUAAC